ACACAAUCGUUCGACCAAUCAGAAAGGGAAGAGGGACAGCGCGUGAGGUACAAGAUCGAUCAUUUGAUUGCUCCUUGUUCGACGUGAUCAGUUUGAAACCGCUUGACACAGCCAGCUAAGCGAAGCGGCUAAAUGAACACAUCGUUGUCAUACGAAACACAUCAUAGUAGAGAAAGACAUAAAAAAGGGCGAAAAGGAACGAGCCCGGCUAUGAAGAGACGUCCGUAGGACACACCCCCUUUGAUCUGCGUGCCUUUGGCGACUCCAAGCUAGGAGGGUCAAAGUUGUCAGAAAACGGCUGAAAAACCCAAAAAGACGAAGGAUUCCCGCCGCACGCUGGAGCAUACAACACCGCAGUUCCGGCAAGGGAACUGGGAAUACACAUUCCACAGCAUUUCAUCCUACAGAAACGCAGGGGUCACCCGGGAGGGAGCGUGAGCCGCCACCAGACGCGUACAUGUGUGUGACUCACCAGCAG